rnacentral:rRNA from 1 species
AAAAUCGAAGGUGUGACCUGCCCAAUGAUUAUUAAUUCAAAAGACUUGAAAAAUCUUAAAAAUAAUUAAACGGACGCGGUAACCUGACCGUGGUAAUGUAGCAUAAUCAAUCGCCAUUUAAUUGAUGGAUAGUAUGAAUGGUUAAACGAAUAUUACACUGUCUCAAGUAAAAAUUUUAUGAAAUUAAGAUAAUAGUUAAGACGCUAUUUCAAACUGUAAGACGAAAAGACCCUAUAGAGCUUAACUAUAAACUUUUUUGAUAAAGAUCAUCAAAAAAUGAUUAUAAAAGAAAGUUAGGUAGUUUAGUUGGGGCGACUGUCUUCUAAAAAGAACGAAGACUAGCAAAGUUAAUAAAAAUAACUUWUUGKUUAAWAAAUUUWUUUAACAAUUACAAAAGUAGGCUAUAAUGACCCAUUGAACUUAAGAAAGUAAAUCAAUGAUUAAAAAAUAAAAGCUACCUUAGGGAUAACAGGAUAAUUUUGUUUUAGAGAUCAUAUCGAAGACAAAGUUUGUCACCUCUAUGUUGAAUUGAGAUAUCCCUGAUAAUGCAGAA